GAAAGGAAGUUAGGGGCAAUAACAGGUCUGUGAUGCCCUUAGAUGUUCUGGACGGCACGCGCGCUACACUGAUGCAUUCAACAAGUAUAUAACCUUAGCCGAGAGGCUUGGGUAAUCUUAUAAAUGUGCGUCGUGAUAGGGAUAGAUUAUUGCAAUUAUUAAUCUUGAACGAGGAAUAUCUAGUAAGUGCGCUUCAUCAAAGCGUGCUGAUUACGUCCCUGCCCUUUGUACACACCGCCCGUCGCACCUACCGAUUGAAUGGUCCGGUGAAAACCUGGGAUAUUAGAUAUGUGCUUGUUUUAGGUAUGUG
rnacentral:rRNA from 1 species